AUUGAACGCUGGCGGCAGGCCUAACACAUGCAAGUCGGGCGAGCGGCGGACGGGUGAGUAAUGUAUGGGGACUGCCUGAUGGAGGGGGAUAACUACUGGAAACGGUAGCUAAUACCGCAUACCAUCAGAUAACCCAUAUGGGAUUCGCUGGUAGGUAAGGUAACGGCUUACCUAGGCGACGAUACCUAGCUGGUCUGAGAGGAUGAUCAGCCACAAUAGGACUUUGAUACUGCCCAGAGUCCGACGGAGGAAGCAAGGGGGAGUAUUGCACAAGGGGCGCGAGACUGAUUCAGCCAUGCCGCAGGUAUUAAUAAGGCCUUCGGGUGGUAAAGUUGUUUCGUUAGCGAGGCGUUAGCUACAGAAGAAGGACCGGCUAACUCCGUGCCAGCAGCCGCGGUAAUAC
rnacentral:rRNA from 1 species